rnacentral:rRNA from 1 species
UACGGAGGGUGCAAGCGUUAUCCGGAUUCACUGGGUUUAAAGGGUGCGUAGGUGGGCAAGUAAGUCAGUGGUGAAAUCUCUAGGCUUAACCUGGAAAUUGCCGUUGAUACUAUAUAUCUUGAAUGCUGUGGAGGUAAGCGGAAUAUGUCAUGUAGCGGUGAAAUGCUUAGAUAUGACAUAGAACACCUAUUGCGAAGGCAGCUUACUACGCAGAUAUUGACGCUCAUGCACGAAAGCGUGGGGAUCAAACAGG